CGGCGUGGAUUAGGCAUGCAAGUCGACGGUAUAAACCUUCGGGGUUUAGAGAGUGGCGAACGGGUGAGUAACACGUAGGUAAUCUACCCUCAAAACGGGGACAACCCAGGGAAACUUGGGCUAAUACCGGAUGCGUGCAAACAAUGUUUUGGCUGUUGUAAUUAUUCACGGAAGUGGAUAGUUAUGAGAGUUUCAGAGCAUAAUUUGCAUAAAAGGUGGCGUAAGCUGCCGUUUGAGGAUGAGCCUGCGUCCUAUUAGUUAGUUGGUGAGGUAAUAGCUUACCAAGGCGAUGAUAGGUAGGCGGCCUUAACGGGUGGUCGCCCACACUGGGAUUGAGAUACGGCCCAGACUCCUACGGGAGGCAGCAGUCGAGAAUAGUCUACAAUGGACGAAAGUCUGAUAGUGCGACGCCGCGUGAACGAAGAAUCCUUUCGGGGUGUAAAGUUCUUUUCUAUGUGAGCAGUUCCUUUUAUAUGAAGAGUAUAGGAGGCGGGAUUUAAGCAUAGGAAUAAGCAACGGCUAACUCCGUG
rnacentral:rRNA from 1 species